rnacentral:rRNA from 1 species
CGGACGGGUGAGUAACGCGUGGGUAACCUGCCUCAUACAGGGGGAUAACAGUUAGAAAUGACUGCUAAUACCGCAUAAGACCACAGCACCGCAUGGUGCAGGGGUAAAAACUCCGGUGGUAUGAGAUGGACCCGCGUCUGAUUAGGUAGUUGGUGGGGUAACGGCCUACCAAGGCGACGAUACAUAGCCGACCUGAGAGGGUGAUCGGCCACACUGGGACUGAGACACGGCCCAG